rnacentral:rRNA from 1 species
GACGAACGCUGGCGGCGUGCCUAAUACAUGCAAGUCGAACGCAGUGGGGACGGGUGAGUAACACGUGGGUAACCUCCCAUCAGAGGGGAUAACACUUGGAAACAGGUGCUAAACCGAUACUGAUGGAUGGACCCGCGGUGCAUUAGCUAGUUGGUGAGGUAACGGCUCACCAAGGCCACGAUGCAUAGCGGACGUGAGAGGUGGACCGUCCACACUGGGACUGAGACACGGCCCAGACCCCUACGGUGGGCAGCAGUAGGGAAUCUUGGACAAUGGACGAAAGUCUGACCGAGCAACGCCGCGUGAGGGAAGAAGGUUUUCGGAUCGUAAAACUCUUUGGUUAGAGAAGCGGUAUCUAACCAGAAAGCCACGGCUAACUACGUGCCAGCCGCCGCGGUAAUUC